UACGUAGGGUGCAAGCGUUACUCGGAAUUACUGGGCGUAAAGCGUGCGCAGGCGGUUCUAUAAGUCAGAUGUGAAAGCCCCGGGCUCAACCUGGGAACUGCAUUUGUGACUGUAGAGCUGGAGUACGGCAGAGGGGGAUGGAAUUCCGCGUGUAGCAGUGAAAUGCGUAGAUAUGCGGAGGAACACCGAUGGCGAGGGCAAUCCCCUGGGCCUGUACUGACGCUCAUGCACGAAAGCGUGGGGAGCAAACAGG
rnacentral:rRNA from 1 species